UACAGAGGGGGCAAGCGUUGUUCGGAAUUACUGGGCGUAAAGGGCGCGUAGGCGGCCUUCUAAGUCGAACGUGAAAUCCCCGGGCUCAACCCGGGAACUGCGUCCGAUACUGGAAGGCUUGAAUCCGGGAGAGGGAUGCGGAAUUCCAGGUGUAGCGGUGGAAAUGCGUAGAUAUCUGGAGGAACACCGGUGGCGAAGGCGGCAUCCUGG
rnacentral:rRNA from 1 species